rnacentral:lncRNA from 1 species
CUCCUUCGGUCGUCCCCAUGGCAACUUACUGCUCCGGAAACUUGCAGCGUCCUCGGGGGGAUCCGUCCGGCCGCAGCAGUAACCCGCCGGGGGUCUGACUCCGUGCCGCCCGGGGGCUGGAGAGAUCCCUACAGCCCCUCCCGCUGAGCCCUGCAGCGCCGCGGCACCAUCAGACAGGGGCGCUGUUCCACAGCAGAAGGGAAUUGUGGGACAGCUCCUGGUCGCCGCGGGCUGUCGCCAUGGCCACCGCGCCCGGGUACAGCCCCUCACUCUGGGUGACCCUGUGCCACUCUCUGCCCCGGCUGGACCUGGCCCUGCGGCCCUGCAGCAGCUGGUUCCGACCCGACAGCUGGGAGUACCAGCAGGUACAGCGCCGCCCUGGGUGCGGGUUCAGUAUGCAGCACUGUAUCUGGUGUACAAGACCCAUGACACCAGCAGGGAGCAAAUAGGCACCCUGUCAACACAGAGGGGCUCAGGGGACACCCCAGCAGUCUGGUGGGCACCCUCUGACCUGGGCCAGGGCUGGAGCACUCUGCUGUAACACUCUCUACAGCAGCACACUACAGUAACACUCUCUACAGCAGCACACUACAGUAACAUGCUCCAUAGUAACGCCCACUACAGUAACACGCUCCACAGUAACACUCUCUACAGUAACACGCUCCACAGUAACACACUACAGUAACGCCCACUACAGUAACACACACUACAGUAACACUCUCUACAGCAGCACACUACAGUAACACGCUCCAUAGUAACGCCCACUACAGUAACACUCUCUACAGUAACACUCUCUACAGCAACACACUACAGUAACACUCUCUACAGCAGCAAACUACAGUAACGCACACUACAGUAACACUCUCUACAGCAGCACACUACAGUAACAC